GAUGAACGCUGGCGGCGUGCCUAAUACAUGCAAGUCGAGCGGCAGCACGGUCUUCGGACUGGUGGCGAGCGGCGGACGGCUGAGUAACGCGUAGGAAUAUACCCCAAAGUGAGGGAUAACUGCCCGAAAGGGUGGCUAAUACCGCAUGUGGUCUUCGGACUAAAGCCUUCGGGCGCUUUGGGAAUAGCCUGCGUAAGAUUAGCUAGUUGGUGAGGUAAUGGCUCACCAAGGCGACGAUCUUUAGCUGGUCUGAGAGGAUGACCAGCCAGACUGGAACUGAGACACGGUCCAGACUCCUACGGGAGGCAGCAGUAGGGAAUUUCCACAAUGGGCGAAAGCCUGAUGGAGCAACGCCGCGUGCAGGAUGAAGGCCCUCGGGUCGUAAACUGCUUUAUGUGCGAAGAAUAUGACGGUAACACAUGAAUAAGGGUCGGCUAACUACGUGCCAGCAGCCGCGGUAAU
rnacentral:rRNA from 1 species